rnacentral:rRNA from 1 species
CUUCCAUCUGGCCACCGUCUGGUCAUCCAUGACUCAGCCAUGCCCCCCUCGUCGUCCUCGUCUCUGAUGCCGGUUGUUGAUGAAAGGAUGGGGCUAGUACUUCCGGUAGGAGCACUGUCAGCUGUGAUUCAGGCAUGGACCAUUUUCAUGCACAAGAGAGCUCUUCGUCGUGUUGAGAGACAUGUCAUUAGAUAUGCUCCAAUGCUUAUGCGGGAGCAGAAGAGGAUCACCAAUCUGAACUGCAUAUAUAACUACAAUGACACAGAGGCUCUGUGGAUGCUUAGAAUGAAAAGAGCACCAUUUGCCAGACUUGUUCAGACCUUCAGGACCAGGAGGCUGCUAGAAGAUAGCAUCCACACCAGUGUGGAAGAGCAAGUAGCUAUGUUCCUUCAUAUUGCUGGCCAUAACCAGAAGUUCAGGGUUAUCCACAACACGUUCAAGUGGUCAGUGGAGACCAUCUCAAGGUACUUCAAGCAAGUGUUGUAUGCUGUUGGGGAGCUUAGAGGAGAGAUGGUCAAGUCACCAACUGGUCGGACUCCUACCAAGAUCCUCACAAGCCCAAGAUAGUAUCCAUAUUUCAAGGUGAGCACUGCAGUAUGUACUUCGUUGCUUGAUAUGCUUAGAUAG